ACGUACACUCCUACGGGAGGCAGCAGUGGGGAAUAUUGCACAAUGGGCGCAAGCCUGAUGCAGCCAUGCCGCGUGUAUGAAGAAGGCCUUCGGGUUGUAAAGUACUUUCAGCGGGGAGGAAGGCGAUAAGGUUAAUAACCUUGUCGAUUGACGUUACCCGCAGAAGAAGCACCGGCUAACUCCGUGCCAGCAGCCGCGGUAAUACGGAGGGUGCAAGCGUUAAUCGGAAUUACUGGGCGUAAAGCGCACGCAGGCGGUCUGUCAAGUCGGAUGUGAAAUCCCCAGGCUCAACCUGGGAACUGCAUUCGAAACUGGCAGGCUAGAGUCUUGUAGAGGGGGGUAGAAUUCCAGGUGUAGCGGUGAAAGGCGUAGAGAUCUGGAGGAAUACCGGUGGCGAAGGCGGCCCCCUGGACAAAGACUGACGCUCAGGUGCGAAAGCGUGGGGAGCAAACAGGAUUAGAAACCCCGGUAGUCCCAUGAU
rnacentral:rRNA from 1 species